rnacentral:rRNA from 1 species
CCUACGGGAGUCAGCAGUAGGGAAUCUUCCACAAUGGGCGAAAGCCUGAUGGAGCAACGCCGCGUGGGUGAAGAAGGUCUUCGGAUCGUAAAACCCUGUUGUUAGAGAAGAAAGUGCGUGAGAGUAACUGUUCACGUUUCGACGGUAUCUAACCAGAAAGCCACGGCUAACUACGUGCCAGCAGCCGCGGUAAUACGUAGGUGGCAAGCGUUAUCCGGAUUUAUUGGGCGUAAAGGGAACGCAGGCGGUCUUUUAAGUCUGAUGUGAAAGCCGUCGGCUUAACCGGAGUAGUGCAUUGGAAACUGGGAGACGUGAGUGCAGAAGAGGAGAGUGGAACUCCAAGUGUAGCGGUGAAAUGCGUAGAUAUAUGGAAGAACACCAGUGGCGAAGGCGGCUCUCUGGUCUGUAACUGACGCUGAGGUUCGAAAGCGUGGGUAGCAAACAGGAUUAGAUACCCGGGUAGUC